AGCUGAAUACAGCCACAGAUGAUGUCGUCUUCACUGCCCUGCACUCUCUCUUCAUACAUGUGAAAUAUAACAAACUCUCUCUCAGCAGGCUGUUUGUGAAGCUGACUGGCAGACUCGUCACUCUGGUCUUCAGGAACACAUUGUGCAACUGGAUACUGGACUUCCUGUCAAACAGGCUGCUGUUCAGACUGGUAAUCACAGCUCCUCCCCUCUAGGGCCACACUGGAGCCCCCCAGGGUCAUGCACUCAGCACCCUCCUGUUCAUGUUGAACAGCCAUGACUGCACUCACAGACAUGGAGAGAAUAUCUUCAUGAAGUUAGAGGACAACACCACCAUCAUCAUUUUGUUGGAGGAAAUCAGCCGUGCACAGCUGUGCAGUUUGGUGCAAAGACAACAACUCACUGCUCAGUGUCAACACAUGUUGGAGCUAAUGGUCAGACAGCAGGAGAGUUUACUUCAUGAUCCAGUGUGGCAGGUGAACUUCAUUUAACUUCCCAGCAGUGACUGUGACGUCCAUCAGAGGACCUGCAGGCAUGUAUUGUCUGCUCUCCAUCCUCUCCAUGUGUCCGUUUUUUACAUAUUUAUUUGUUUUUGACUUUAUUUGGUUCCUGAGGUGAUACCUGAUAAUCUCUGCACCAGAUUCUGCUCAUCUUCAUUAAAGCCUUUCUGGUCACCUCCACA